CUCCAGCAGGCCCUAGAGAAGAGGAAAUGGGAACAAAAGAUGAAGGCGAGGAGGGAUCAGGAAGAAAGACUGAAGAGCAGAUUACCACUUCACCAAGAGCUGUUGAAAAGACACCAGAGACUUGAAAAGAUGGAGCAAAAAAAAGAAGAACGUGAGGAGCCAGAGUUUCUUCAAGUUAAACACAGACUGCGACGGACGACAAUGACAGAUGUGGGAGAAAAUAAUUAAACUCUGAAACAACGGUCCCCAGUGCAAUGAACAUUAAAAUAAUCCAUCAUUAACGUUCACAUGAAAUAUUUCAGUCUGAUGUUUGUAAUGUGCCUGAGAAUAACAACAAUUUGCAUUAUGCUUGUAAUGUGAUGUUUUAAGAUGCAGCAACUACAGCUCUGGAAAAAAUAAGAGACCACUGCAAAAUGAUCACUUUCUCUGAUUUUACCAUUUAUAGGUAUGUGUUUGAGUAAAAUGAAUAUUUUUGUUUUAUUCUCUAAACUACCAACAACAUUUCUCCCAAAUUCCAAAUAAAAACAUUAUUAUUUAGAGCAUGUAUUUGCCGAACACAAUGGUCAAAAUAACAAAAAGAUGCAGGUGUUUUCAGACCUCAAAUAAUGCAAAGAACACAAGUUCAUAUUAAUUUCUAAACAACACAAAACUAAUGUUGUAACUUAUCCCUGAUAGGAAUAUCCCUGAUUUUCAAUGACAGCUUUCAGGUGGCUUGGCUCUCCACCAUUUCUGUUGGAUGACUUUAUGCAGCUCCUAGCAGAGAAAUUCAAGAAGUUCAACAAUGUUCCAUGGCUGUGACCAUCCAUGUUCCUCUUGAUUAUAUUCCAAAAGUUUUCAGAGUGGGUUCAGGUCUGGAGAUUGGGCUGGCCAUGACAGGGUCUGCAUCUGGUGGUCCGUCAUCCACACCUUUAUUGACCUAGCUGAGGCCAGGAGCAUUGUCCUGAUAGAAGAACCAGUCCUCAGAGUUUGGGAACAUUAUCAGAGCAGAAGUCCAGUAGUUUUCAAC
rnacentral:lncRNA from 1 species